UACGUAGGAAGCGAGCGUUGUCCGGAAUCACUGGGCGUAAAGCGCGUGUAGGCGGUACGGCAAGUCUGCUGUGAAAGCGCCCGGCUUAACCGGGCGAGGUCGGCGGAAACUGCUGAACUGGAGGACGGUAGAGGGGGGUGGAAUUCCCGGUGUAGUGGUGAAAUGCGUAGAGAUCCGGAGGAACCCCAGAGGCGAAGGCGGCCCCCUGGCUCGUACCUGACGCUCAGCCACGAAAGCAUGGGGAGCGAACGGG
rnacentral:rRNA from 1 species